rnacentral:rRNA from 1 species
GACGAACGCUGGCGGCGUGCUUAACACAUGCAAGUCGAACGGGUCUGCCCUGUUUUUUGCGGGGUGGGUCAGUGGCGAACGGGUGAGUAACACGUGAGUAACCUGCCCCUCACUUCUGGAUAACCGCUUGAAAGGGUGGCUAAUACGGGGUGUUCUGGCUGUGCCGCAUGGUGUGGCUGGGAAAGAUUCACUUUUGUGGUGUUUUGGUGGGGGAUGGGCUCGCGGCCUAUCAGCUUGUUGGUGGGGUGAUGGCCUGCCAAGGCUUUGACGGGUAGCCGGCCUGAGAGGGUGGGCGGUCACACUGGGACUGAGAUACGGCCCAGACUCCUGCGGGAGGCAGCAGUGGGGGGUAUUGCACAAUGGGCGGAAGCCUGAUGCAGCGGCGUCGCGUGAGGGAUGGAGGCCUUCGGGUUGUGAACCUCUUUCGCCGGUGAAGAAGGUCCUGCUCUUCGUGGUGGGGUUGACGGUAGCCGGGUUAUGAAGCGCCGGCUAACUACGUG